CUACGGGUGGCUGCAGUGGGGGAUAUUGCACAAUGGGGGAAACCCUGAUUCAGCGACGCCGCGUGUGGGAAGACGGUCCUCUGGAUUGUAAACCACUGUCCCCAGGGACGAAGAUGACGGUACCUGGGGAGGAAGCUCCGGCUAACUACGUGCCAGCAGCCGCGGUAAUACGUAGGGAGCGAGCGUUGUCCGGAAUUACUGGGUGAAAAGGGAGCGUAGGCGGGACUGCAAGUUGGGUGUCAAAUCUACCGGCUCAACCGGUAGCCGCAAUCAAAACUGCAGUUCUUGAGUGAAGUAGAGGCAGGCGGAAUUCCUAGUGUAGCGGUGAAAUGCGUAGAUAUUAGGAGGAACACCAGUGGCGAAGGUGGCCUGCUGGGCUUUUACUGACGCUGAGGCUCGAAAGUGUGGGGAGCAAACAGGAUUAGAUACCCCAGUAGUC
rnacentral:rRNA from 1 species